AUAUUUUAAUAUAUGUGUGGUCUUUUAUCAUCAAAUAUUUGCGUGUCCUGUUAUAGUUUACGUAUACGUGUAGUAUACGACACAAUACGUUUCGACUAAACACGUAUGGACUUAACACGGUGUUACCGACGAUGUGUGCUACAGAAGUGGUAAUGCAGUGGCAUAAAAACCAAGCGUACAUGGGUUUGUAAUCCUGAAACGCACAAAAUACACUUUAUUGCAGGUGUUUGGUUAGCAGGAGACGUUUUACUUAGGCGCAAUAGUCCCGAAGCAAAAAGCGAAAGUAAAAACGAACAGGGCCGCCUCUAGAACGUUGCGACUGCUUAUCUAUUCCCCGUUUCCCAAUAAAAAACUUGUUCGGAGAAUUUAGUCCCGCACGGAAGAAAUUGCGAUCCCCUCCAUUAAAUGUAUGGUAGGUUCUAUUUGAGUCGUGGUGAUAUAGAUCGGGUGAAUUAACGUGAUAUAAUGUACGCGCUCACUGCAGUUCGUUUACAUAUCAAAAAUGCGAUAAAAACAGGUAAAUAUUGCAAUUUACAAUAACCCGAUGCAUGCUUAUCAAACACAAACACCAUUUCUACCCAUGCAUCCCAUAUUUUUGAGUAUUUUCAUGUUUCAGCGUCUGUUAACAAUUUUUCCACAAAUAAUGUGUGCGCAUGCGCACAGCAUUUGCUGUAAUACGCUAACAUUUUUCUAGGUAACGCUCUAGUGUGUGUUUCCUUAUUGUUUUUAAUUGUUUUAAAUUUGAAAAGAGAUGAAAAUUGUAUCAAUUAAAAAUACAUAUUGUGUUUAAUUAUAUUUUACAGAAAGAUACAUGUCAGCCUGAAAAACCUUAAGCAGUAUAUGUUUGGCAUGAUCAUUGCAGCAUGAAAAGCUGUUAAGGAAAACCACAUGAAAGUAGACAGAGCUGCUGUGACAUUUGAUGUUCCAAGACAAACAUUAAAGAACAGCGUUAUGAACAAAGUGAAUGUAAAAGCAAAGUGAGCGUUCUUGUUUGCAUUGGACGACGAGGAGCUGCUGGUUAACAAUCUUAAAUCCCUGGCACAGGUGGGCUAUGAUCUUAAUCGCCCACAAUUGAGUGUUCUUGCCAGUAAACUUGCAGUGAAGCGUGGUAGGCGUAAUUCAGAUGACAAGCUGAUUAAUAUCUGGUACUAUAACUUCCUGAAAAGAAGUGAUCAUAGACUAAGUAUAAAAAACAAGGGCCUAUCAUCCACUUGGUCAGCAGCAGUGACCCAAGAAAGCAUGUACUAUUACUAUUGUGAUCUUAAUGCUGUUCUUUAUAAGUAUAAUCUAAAGUCAAAACCACAUCUGAAAUACAACCAUUACGAGACCGGAAUUCAACCUUAGCACAGGCCAUCAAGUCAUUACGGGUGUUUCGUCAAGUAGAAUACGCAGUAACCUCACCAAAUACAGGCACUACUAUCAUAGUAGCCUGUGUAAAUACAGCAGGUGCCGCUAUACCACCUUACUAUAUAUUCAAAGGGAAAUGGACAAACGACAUGUUUAUGAAUAAUGCCAAAGCUUGUGCAGCCUACACCAUAUCAGACUCUGGUAGUGUGAAUGGGGAAGUUCUCACGAAGUACCUCAAUGAACACUUCUUAAAAUAUUUCCAAAGAGGAAGGCGACAACAUUGAACCCAUCUUGUUGAUUUAUGAUUUAUUCCCCCCAUGUGUCUCUUGACAUAGUAAGUUGACCAGAUAGCAAAAUGUGAUCCUUUUGGUUCUCUCACAACACAGUUCACAUGCUCUCCAACCGUUGGUAUUGCUUCGCUCCAGUAACGGCAACAUUCUAUAGGGAGUGCAACUUAUACAUGGCAAAAGAAAGGGGUAGGAUAAUUACGAAGUAUGAAAUCGCAGAGUUGUCAGGAAAAUCGUACUUGAAGUCAAUGAUCCAUGCUGGAUUCAGAAAAGCAGGAAUGUUGUCGUUUGAUGCAACUGAGGUUUCUAAUGAGAUUAUUUUGCCAUCACAAUCCAUUCCAAUAGAAAACAUGCAAUACAGAAGAAUCAAGCAUGACAAUGAAAGAACUAUUAGAUCAAAAACUUAGAUCGGCGCCAAAACCAAGACAACAUAAAACAAUCCCAAAUGAGUACAAGACAAAAGAAACCAAUAAUUGGAGGUAACCAAUUACAGAGGACUAAGUGUUCAACCAACUUCUAGAAUACGUAAUAGAAAGAACAUAAAACGAAUGAACAAAAAAGGAAAAACCAAAGAAACAGUGAAGGGUAAAGAAAUAGUUGAUGAAAGAAUGCAGCAAAGGCCACAAAAUGAAAACAAAUACAGUUUUAUCAGAUAUUGAAUAAGCGGACGAUGAUUCUAGCAAAUAACUGUAUUUAACAGGUUUUCUUCCCCGGGAAUGGGCCAGUGCGAUGGGAUAGUGUUUGUGAUGUGGGCACAGUGCACAGCUUUAGCCAUUGGUGUCACCUCAGAUUCUGCUCAGAAAUCAGAGUUGUACGCAGCUUUCUUCUGUACACAUUGUGUGGACCGUGAAAGUUGAAUGUCAAGGCUGAUUGACCAUACCAUUCUUUUCUUUGUGACUUUGUAAACAUUCCAUCAAUUAGAUUUGUGUUCAAGUUUAUGUUCUCUGCUCCACUUAUCAAGUUUAUUAUGUAAUAAAAUUAACUACUUUUGAACAGAGUGUUUUCAAUAAUGUUAUGUAAUGUAAUAGUGAUUAACUAUUUAAUAUUGUAACAAAUUAUUAACAUAUCUGUAUAUUAUUAGUUGUGCAAUUGAUAUAAAUGUGUAUAUGUCAAUUGUUGGUGAUGUAAAAUACAAUACAGUUGUUAACAAAAACAACACGAAGUUAGUAUAAUUUGUCUUAAAAACGAUACACUUGUCACUGUUGUCAUAUAUGUUUAUAGCAAUUAUCAAAGAAAUUAACCUCCUCUGCAAAGUCUUUGUUAAGAGUGUUUGCAGCAUGCAAACCUUGAAAUUGAAACAUUCAAUCAGAACCCACGACUCAACCAGAACCUUUUUUUCAAUUUGCCGGUUUGACACUGUCAACAUAUUCGAUUACUUUGAUGUAAACAGACGAUAAACAUUUUGGGAAAAAGGCAAAAAAGCACAUAGCAUACUCCACACGCAACUUCAAUCACCACCAUAAAAAGGGGAAUCGUCCUUGACAUGAAAAUUAAGUGUUUCAUCUGUUUAAAUUCGUUUGUGUUUUUUCCGUUAUUCGAAUAUGCCGACAAAAUUAUACAAAACAUAUUUAUCUGUUUUUCUAGGUAAGGAUUCGACUUGUGCAUUCAAGUGGCAAUGGCUCCUACCUGUUCACUGGGAGAUCUUCGCCACACACGCAAAGACAAGGUCGCUGACCUCGUAUCCGAUCUGAUCUACCCAAGGGAAGAACUAUGUAUGCACAUCGCUAUCAAUAUGUACGGAGCAACCAUGGGGCGAAUCGAUAUCCUUACAAAGGAUUACGGUAGUUCAACUCCAAAUUCCACCAUUGCGAGCUUCAACAUGGUGACCUCGAACAACCCGGUGUGGACCGAAAAAGACGUGCAGAUUCCGGAUCAGGGCUUCUACUACGUAAUAAUCCGCGCAGUCGUCGGGUCCGGCUUCGCUAGCGGCAUAGCCAUCGAUGACAUAAUCUUUAAUACUGGGAAAUGCUGAAUGUUUGAAAUGAACGUUAAGAUCUAUAUGUUCGUGAUUGGUUAUAUCCGGGUUGCGUUUAGAUUUAUUAAAUGCAUUCUUUUGUUUA